rnacentral:rRNA from 1 species
CCUACGGGUGGCAGCAGUGAGGAAUAUUGGUCAAUGGACGGAAGUCUGAACCAGCCAUGCCGCGUGCAGGAAGACGGCUCUAUGAGUUGUAAACUGCUUUUGUACAAGGGUAAACCUGAAUACGUGUAUUCCGCUGAAAGUACUGUACGAAUAAGGAUCGGCUAACUCCGUGCCAGCAGCCGCGGUAAUACGGAGGAUCCAAGCGUUAUCCGGAUUUAUUGGGUUUAAAGGGUGCGUAGGCGGAUUGAUAAGUUAGAGGUGAAAUGUCCGAGCUUAACUCGGGAACUGCCUCUAAUACUGUUGAUCUAGAGAGUAGAUGCGGUAGGCGGAAUGUAUGGUGUAGCGGUGAAAUGCUUAGAGAUCAUACAGAACACCGAUUGCGAAGGCAGCUUACCAAUCUAUAUCUGACGUUGAGGCACGAAAGCGUGGGGAGCGAACAGGAUUAGAUACCCCUGUAGUC